UGGGCUUUGAAAUGGCGUCGGUGGACCUCUGGAAGGCUGCAAGGGGGCUGAGAGUUGGAUUCCAUUGAAACCAUUGGAAAUAAAAUGUCUGUGAUACACACGCUGAAGGUAUCCUGAAAAUACCAUCAUUGCAUCUUCAGUGAGGAUGGCAAACAGGAAGCAACAUGGUGUCUGCAGAGCAGAUUUUGAAAGUAGAGUGGCC
rnacentral:lncRNA from 1 species